GGACGAACGCUGGCGGCGCGCCUAAAACAUGCAAGUCGAACGAGAAGCCCGGGCUUGCCCGGGUGGACAGUGGCGAACGGGUGAGUAACACGUGAGGAACCUGCCCCGAAGACCGGGACAACACCGGGAAACCGGUGCUAAUACCGGAUACCUUCACCGGAUCGCAUGGUCUGGUGAAGAAAUGGAUUCCGCUUCGGGAUGGCCUCGCGGCCUAUCAGCUUGUUGGUGAGGUAACGGCUCACCAAGGCAACGACGGGUAGCUGGUCUGAGAGGAUGUCCAGCCACACUGGGACUGAGACACGGCCCAGACCCCUACGGGAGGCAGCAGUGAGGAAUAUUGGUCAAUGGACGAAAGUCUGAACCAGCAACGCCGCGUGAGGGAUGAAGCAUCAAGGUGCGUAAACCUCUGUUAGAAGGGACGAAUAGUUCCGAUUGUAUCGGGAUUUGACGGUACCUUCAGAGAAAGCCCCGGCUAACUCCGUGCCAGCAGCCGCGGUAAUACGGGGGGGGCUAGCGUUGUCCGGAAUUAUUGGGCGUAAAGGGCGCGUAGGCGGAAUGGUAAGUCAGUGGUGAAAUUUCGA
rnacentral:rRNA from 1 species